rnacentral:rRNA from 1 species
UACGUAGGUGGCAAGCCGUUGUCCGGAAUUAUUGGGCGUAAAGCGUGCGCAGGCGGUUUUGUAAGCCAGAUGUGAAAGCCCCCGGGCUUAACCUGGGAAUGGCAUUUGGGACUGCAAGGCUGGAGUACGGCAGAGGGAGGUGGAAUUCCAGGUGUAGCAGUGAAAUGCGUAGAGAUCGGGAGGAACAUCCAUGGCGAAGGCAGCUACCGUGGACCAACACUGACACUGAGGCACGAAAGCGUGGGGAGCAAACAGG